rnacentral:rRNA from 1 species
UAAGGAAUAUUGCUCAAUGGGAGAAAUCCUGAAGCAGCAACGCCGCGUGGAGGAUGAAGGGUCUAUGACUUGUAAACUCCUGUAAAGAAGGAAAAAAUUCCCAUUAGAUGGGAGAUGAUGGUACUUCUGGAGUAAGCCCCGGCUAACUACGUGCCAGCAGCCGCGGUAAUACGUAGGGGGCAAGCGUUGUCCGGAUUUACUGGGUGUAAAGGGUGCUCAGGCGGAUUUGUAAGUCAGAGGUGAAAUCUUACAGCUUAACUGUGAAACUGCCUUUGAUACUGCAAGCCUAGAGUAUGGAAGAGAGCGAUGGAAUAUCUGGUGUAGCAGUGAAAUGCGUAGAUAUCAGAUAGAACACCAAUGGCGAAGGCAGUCACUUGGUCCAUUACUGACGCUAAAGCACGAAAGCGU